UACAGAGGUCUCAAGCGUUGUCCGGAAUUAUUGGGCGUAAAGAGCGUGUAGGCGGUUCGGUAAGUCUGCCGUGAAAACCUGGGGCUCAACCCCGGGCGUGCGGUGGAUACUGCCGGGCUAGAGGGUGGUAGAGGCGAGUGGAAUUCCCGGUGUAGCGGUGAAAUGCGCAGAUAUCGGGAGGAACACCAGUAGCGAAGGCGGGUCUCUGGGCCGAAACUGACGCUGAGGAGCGAAAGCGUGGGGAGCGAACAGG
rnacentral:rRNA from 1 species